CAUUAAGAAGCUAUGUAAUAGCACUAGCCUUUUAAGCUAGAGAAAGAGGACACACUAUCCUCCUUAAUGG
rnacentral:tRNA from 1 species